UACGAAGGGGGCUAGCGUUGUUCGGAAUCACUGGGCGUAAAGGGCGUGUAGGCGGUCAAGUAAGUGGGAUGUGAAAUCCCUCGGCUCACCCGAGGACCUGCAUCCCAAACUGCUUGGCUUGAGUAUGGGAGAGGAUGAGGGAAUUCCUGGUGUAGCGGUGAAAUGCGUAGAUAUCAGGAGGAACACCGGUGGCGAAGGCGCUCAUCUGGCCCAAUACUGACGCUGAGGCGCGAAAGCUAGGGGAGCAAACGGG
rnacentral:rRNA from 1 species